AAGAGUGGAAGAAUUGCCGGACACAUGUUGAGCCAAGCACUUGACGAUAUUCAGUUAGAUCACAUCCAGGUGAGCCAUCAUCAAGCUUGAGCGUUUCUGAAAUAGAUAUUGGGGUACUAACUUCCUUUGCCUCUUGCAUAUUAGUUCGUUGAAGAAGCUCUAGAAAAUACUUUCUUUGAGAUAAGAACAAACCAUUGAAGGUCCGAGUUGUUUCAACACCUAAGAAGUAGCCAAGUUUAUUGAGAUCUUUGAGAGAGAACCUAUUAGAUAGCUAACCGGUGAACUCUUGAAGAGUUGGAGGAUGAUUGCUGGUGAGUAUAAUGUCAUCUUGGAGUAUUACGCUAGAUUCCUAUCUUAUGAUGAUUUCGAUAUUCCUUUUCCAAUUGUCAUGCUAUUAUCAAUAUUAAGGUGAUAAUUAUAGAUAGGUUUGAUCAUUGACGACUUUAUAUGAGAAGACCGAUUGUCAACAUGGCCAAUUGUUGAAAUUGGUUCUACCAUGAAAUGUUGUGCCUAGUGCUCUAUGGGUGCUACUGAUCCGUCCUUAUAACAUGUGAUGUCAAUCUUCUAUUGAUUUGUGACUUUGUUUAAAGCUACAACACUUUUUACAUUGCAAAUGUUGUUUGUUCUUUUCUGAUAAUAGUGAUUCUUCCUAUUUCUUAAAAUUCUUCUGAAUGUUGGUAGUGUCUAUUGUUUUAACAAUUUCAGAAAGUAAGUUCUUCUUGGAUUUUUUGCUAAGUUAAUAAUAUAUAAUAGGGCAAGCCAAAAAUGAGAAAUGAUUGCUUAUUCUCUAAGUAACUUUAACAAUAUUGCCUAACUAAUUAGCUAAUCAUAUUCUAUUAACUAUUUAUAUGUUUACAGUUGAGAAUGUUAAGCAACAUUGUUUUCCUGUUUUCCUAAUGCUCUUAAUUGUCCCAUGCUGGAAGAGAACGACUUCAAAAAUGACAGUGUGAGUUGCUUUUGAUUUCUUUUUAUUUUUAGGGCUAGAGAAAGUCUACCUAUUAUUUCACACAAUUACAAAAUUCUAUAGUUCUAUGGGAGCCAUAUGUGGUGUUGGUGUGGUUAAGGGAUUCGGAAAGACCCUGUACAUGACCAAGGGUGGUGGUGCUAAUGUAGUAGCCUACAGUUACACCAAGGGUGAUGCCCUAGCUGCUGAAAUUGUCGUUACCUCUGUGCUCGUUUACACUAUUUUCUCUACUACUGAUGCCAAACAUAAAGCUAGAGACUCACAAGUUCCUUUAAGCAUUCCACUUGUCUUUGUAGGCCUGUUUCUCUUGCCAUUAUUGAUUAGACUUAAGCGAAUAUAAAUCAUUCUUCAUAUUAGGGGUGUGUUUGAGCCUUAUUAUUUGGCAUUAUAAUGAGAUGAAUUGUGUUUUUUUCUUUUAAAUGAGUGGUUGAAAUUUUUUUGAUUUACAUGUAAUAUUAUUUUAUUAAAGAUUGUGUGGUUAAAAGUAGGAGAGAGAAAAUUUUAAUUUAAUGUAAUAAGAAAUAAUGGGGCUCAAACGGGGGCUAGGUAUGAUUAAAUGUGAUUGAGCUUGAACAAGAAUUGUCUUCUGUAUCUAUAAGAAUCUCUGUUUAGGUUUGGAUUUGAGUUUAUGUAUAUUCUAUAUAUUUAUUUUACUCUAUUUAUAACAUUUCUUGAUUACUAAGAUAAAUCAAUAUCUUUGGCUGAUGAGUGUGUGUUAAUAGAAGUGGUUCCUUGCCUAUCAUAUUCUCAAACGUCCUUGUUCGGAGCAUAUUUGGCUAAGCUUAAGCUUUACUUAUAUUUAUUAGGUAAAUAAGUAAGUUGUGUAAUAAACAUAUUUUUUAUUGGUCAAGGUUGUAACUUGUUAUUAUUUGAAAGUAAGAAAGGUAAACACGUUUGUAAAUAAUGUACUUUUUUAAGCAUAGCCAAGUAUUCAAAGAGUUAUUAUUUUCCAUGAUUUUAGAUAUUUUUGUUUUGUUUUUUAGUGUUGAUUUAUGUAUUUUAUUUAAUCGGUCAACAUGAAGAUGUAAGAAAGGUUGAAUACAGAGUAUGGAAUCCGUUCCACUCGAAAUUGGCAGUUGCCAUUCUUGGGGGAGUCAAUGAUAUUUGUCUAAUAUUUUAUUUAUAUCUAUUACCCUGAUAACAUGUGUGUUUUUGUCAUUAAUGCUGAUGCAUUUUAUAUAUCCAAUAAUCUUAUCUGCACAAUUUAUUUUCUGGUCUAUUUUGUUUUGAACCUGGUGCUCGGUGUCUUUUAUCUAGGAGCUACUUCAAGAACAAUUAUUUCUCAUGUAUCUAAUCUGGUUGGCCCUACAAGUAAUUUUCUUUUUCAGAGCUCUAUCAUUUCUCCAUAUAUUUCAUGGAGUGGUGUUUAUGAAAUCCUAUUUGUAAUUACGUUGUUUGCAGAUUGGAAUGGUAUACACAAUGAAAUUUUCUCACAUAAGCAAUAGGGACUUGGUCAACAUGGCGAAUAAGAGGGUGAAUGUUAUUCCUUUUUUAAAAUCAUUUUCGCAAUGAACUUUUCUUGUUUAUAUGCAUCUUUAUUUUGUAUGUAUAAUUUGGAAAUUGAUGAAUAUGAUCAGGGUUUUUCAUUAACUUCUUUUGCAUAUUGAUUUUGUUAGUUGGAAAUUUCACAUUAAUUAGCUCUAACUCUCUCCGUUGAGGCGUUAGUUUUAAGGCUCCCCUUUUUAAAGUAAAUCUUUACCUGGUCAUUUUGUCGUCUACUUUACGGUCAAGUGAUUUUCUUAUGGAUUUUGUUUGUUAGUGCCAAUUUAUUGGUUGUAGCGACAUGGAUUAUGAUUUUGCGUUAGAUUAAUUAAACUUUCAUUGAAGUAACUUAAAUAUUUUAUUGGGGUCUCUUUUCUUACUUAAUAUUGAUGUAUAAUUGUAUAUGAUGAGGGUCUUCUACUUAACUUCUUCUGCAUAUUAAUUUUGUUAGUUGAGAAAUUCGUGUUAAUUAGUUCUCUCUCAAUAUAGUUUUUUCUAUGUCAUUCUUAAAUUCGUGUCAAUUCAAGUUAUUACUAAUUUUUUGGUUCUUGAAAAAAGGUUUCUGAUUUUGCAUAUGAUUAGCCUUUCAUCUGAUGUAAACUAUUAUAUGUGAGGGAUUCAGAAAAAAAAUUGUAAUAUGUGGGCUCUUCUUUAGUUAUGAUUAUAUUCUGCUCGUUGUCAUGCCUUUUUACCACAAAAUAUGUUUGGUAUCAUUAUAUAAGAAACUGAUUCUGAAUUUUCAGUUCUGAUUUUAAAAUUCGUCUGCGCCCUUGUGUAAUUCAUUCUUUUAUAGUUUGACGAUGCCUAUGCUCUGUGGGUCUUUUUGUAUAGAAUGAGAGAUUAGUGGUUUAAACUGUUGGUUUUUAUGUAACUGAAUAUUAGGUUAAAUGCCAUCUUUUAUUAUGAAUUCUGAAUAAAAUCGUUUGCCAACUUUAUUACCCAUUACCUAAUUGCCUUUGUUGCAUUGUACAUGUGCUGAGAACACAUUAUUCUAGUUUUGAAACCCAUAUUCAUAAAUUAUUUAAGAUUAUGGUUGUGAAUUCAACAUAAUUGCACUAGUUACAUAGUGAUGUGGUAUAAAGGAUUCUUUUGCCUUUCCCUCAAUAAUUAGUUUGAUGCUCUUAAUUAAUGUAGUAAUGUUUUAUUGCAUUGUUGUUCCAGAAAGGGUCGGGGCUCUGCAUAUGGCCAAGGAUGAGACAGCUUUGGCUAACUCGCCACAAGGUCUUGAAUGGCAUUGAUAAGAGCCUCACAAAUCCAUACACAAGAGUCUUUCUUAGACUUGGUUUUUACUUAAUUGGGAAACGAAAUGUGGCCUGCAGUACUCCAGCAUGGUUAUGUACUAUUAUGGUCUGAGAGUUUAGGCAAUUCGUGCACUAGAUUGCUCAGUUUGUAAUGUUUGAUUCAUGUUCCGAUACUUGUUUUGGAUCAUUUGAUUAUUGUGAUGUAUUACUUUGAAUGCCCGGGUAUCCCCAGAGUAGUUGUACCCACAAUUUUGAUUAAUAUAAUUUAUUUACCUGAUCCAAAAAGAAAAAAAAAUAGGA
rnacentral:lncRNA from 1 species